rnacentral:misc_RNA from 1 species
CGAAAUGCGAUAAGUAAUGUGAAUUGCAGAAUUCCGUGAAUCAUCGAAUCUUUGAACGCACAUUGCGCCCUCUGGCAUUCCGGGGGGUAUGCCUGUCCGAGCGUCAUUACGCACCCUCAAGCCCGGCUUGUGUGAUGGGCCCCGGCGUCUCGUUCGCGAGACGGGCCCGAAAGGCAGCGGCGGCGUCGACCCGAUGAGCCCGAGCGUAUGGGGACUUCUGUCACACGUUCGCGGUGCGGACCGGCGCCUGCUUGACUUUUCUGAUUAUCCAGGUUGACCUCGGAUCAGGUAGGGAUACCCGCUGAACUUAAGC